UACAGAGGGUGCAAGCGUUAAUCGGAAUUACUGGGCGUAAAGCGUGCGUAGACGGUAGCGUAAGUCAGAUGUGAAAGCCCCGGGCUCAACCUGGGAAUUGCAUUUGAGACUGCUCUGCUCGGGUGCGGAAGAGGGAAGCGGAAUUUCCGGUGUAGCGGUGAAAUGCGUAGAGAUCGGCAGGAACACCCAGGGAGAAAUCAGCCGCCUGGGCAAGUGCUGACGCUGAGGUGCGAAAGCGUGGGGAGCGAACCGG
rnacentral:rRNA from 1 species